rnacentral:rRNA from 1 species
CAGGCCUAACACAUGCAAGUCGAGCGGUAACAGGACUAGCUUGCUAGUUGCUGACGAGCGGCGGACGGGUGCGUAACACGUAGGAAUCUGCCCGGUAGUGGGGGAUAGCCCGGAGAAAUCCGGAUUAAUACCGCAUACGCCUUAAGAGGGAAGGCAGGGGACCCGUUUCUUUUAUAAGGAGCGAACCUUGCGCUAUCGGAUGAGCCUGCGUCGGAUUAGCUGGUUGGUGGGGUAAAGGCCUACCAAGGCGACGAUCCGUAGCUGGUCUGAGAGGAUGAUCAGCCACACUGGGACUGAGACACGGCCCAGACUCCUACGGGAGGCAGCAGUGGGGAAUAUUGCACAAUGGGCGCAAGCCUGAUGCAGCCAUGCCGCGUGUGUGAAGAAGGCCCUAGGGUUGUAAAGCACUUUCAGCGAGGAGGAAAGGUUCAAGGUUAAUACCCUUGAGCUGUGACGUUACUCGCAGAAGAAGCACCGGCUAACUCCGUGCCAGCAGCCGCGGUAAUACGGAGGGUGCGAGCGUUAAUCGGAAUUACUGGGCGUAAAGCGUGCGUAGGCGGCUUGUUAAGUUGGAUGUGAAAGCCCCGGGCUUAACCUGGGAACUGCACCCAAAACUGGCAAGCUAGAGUGCGGAAGAGGAGUGUGGAAU